GACGAACGCUGGCGGCGUGCCUAAUACAUGCAAGUCGAGCGGACAGAAGGGAGCUUGCUCCCGGAAGUUAGCGGCGGACGGGUGAGUAACACGUGGGCAACCUACCCUGUAGAUCGGGAUAACAUCGAGAAAUCGGUGCUAAUACCGGAUAAUCAUUUGAAGUGCAUGCUUCGAAUGUAAAAGAUGGCUCCGGCUAUCACUACGGGAUGGGCCCGCGGCGCAUUAGCUAGUUGGUAAGGUAAUGGCUUACCAUGGCAACGAUGCGUAGCCGACCUGGGAGGGUGAUCGGCCACACUGGGACUGAGACACGGCCCAGACUCCUACGGGAGGCAGCAGUAGGGAAUCUUCCGCAAUGGACGAAAGUCUGACGGAGCAACGCCGCGUGAGUGAUGAAGGUUUUCGGAUCGUAAAGCUCUGUUGUUAGGGAAGAACAAGUGCCGUUUGAAUAAGGCGGCACCUUGACGGUGCCUAACCAGAAAGCCACGGCUAUCUACGUGCCAGCCGCCGCAGUAACAC
rnacentral:rRNA from 1 species